rnacentral:lncRNA from 1 species
CCAUCCCUUAGAUUUAUUAUACUCAGAUACGAAAAUAUCAAUUACUUUUCAUCCAUGCGAAAGCAUCGCUGAUAAACGGCUCCACCCCUCCAGAAGCAAUGUCUAGGUAGCAGCAAGCCUGCCUUAGUUCAAUUUCAUAAUGUAAGCUCUGCGAUGCGAGAUUUCUACUUAAACAUUGGAAAGAGGUAUCACUUCUAUGUGCUUGUUGAUUGUAAAAAAUGUAAUUGUAACGUAGUUGUCUUUAUGCUCAACGCCCACAAACAUCAAUUUUGGAAUCGU